rnacentral:misc_RNA from 1 species
AAUCAUCAAUCCCCAUGGGUUUUUAUUAGCUUGUGGUGUGCAUUGGAUGUGGGUGUCUGCCAGUAACAUGGCUCGCCUGAAAUGUGUUAGCUGGGAUUUCUUCUUUGAUAGCUGGACGUGAUAAGUUUCGUCCUGAUGCUUGAUUGGAAGGCCUGCUCCUAAUCACUAUUAAUCUUUUGA